GACGUAGGGCGCGAGCGUUGUCCGGAUUUAUUGGGCGUAAAGAGCUCGUAGGCGGCUUGUUGCGUCGUCCGUGAAAACCUGUGGCUUAACUACAGGCUUGCGGUCGAUACGGGCGGGCUGGAGUUCGGUAGGGGAGACUGGAAUUCCUGGUGUAGCGGUGAAAUGCGCAGAUAUCAGGAGGAACACCGGUGGCGAAGGCGGUUCUCUGGGCAUUACCUGACGCUGAGGAGCGAAAGUGUGGGGAGCGAACAGG
rnacentral:rRNA from 1 species